ensembl:miRNA MIR4328 microRNA 4328
AACAGUUGAGUCCUGAGAACCAUUGAGAACCAGUUUUCCCAGGAUUAACUGUUCCG